rnacentral:lncRNA from 1 species
UGUUGGGGUCUUUGGAAAGGGUAAGAGCCUCGUUUUCCCAGACCAGCUCAUCCCAGCAGAAUCCUUUAUUGGCACCAAUCUUCAUUUUUUUUUUUCUUGCUUUUUAGGGCCGCCCCCACAGCAUAUGGAUGUUCCCAGACUAGGGGUGGAAUCGGAACUACAGCUGUCAGCCUACACCACAGCCACAGCAGCGCAGGAUCCAAGCCACGUCUGUGACCUAUACCAUAGCUCACAGCAAUGCUGGAUCCUUAACCCACUAAGUGAGGCCAGGGAGCGAACCCACAACCUCAUGGUUCCUAGUCGGAUUCGUUAACUGUGGAGCCAUGAAAGGAACUCCUCAUUUGUUUCUUUGUGUUCCUUGUUUACUUGUUACUUCCUGACACACAGGCUGACAUGGAGUGGGUCUUCUGAGAUGCACAGACACAACAUGAUACUGGCACGCUCCUGGCCAUCAUUAAUUUCUUCCUGUAACCGUCAGCUACCUUGACUCAGUUUUGGUUCCUUUAGAGGCAGAGGGCAAGAUGAGAGUUUGGGCGCAUGUGGCUUAUUUGGGCCCAGUUAACACCUGAGAGCUGGAAGUGGGGAAGAGAGACGGGGAGGUGGGCAAGGUGGCCAGUGCCCGGCCAGUUACCCCUGCGGGCAGCGGGGUUAAUGACCUGGAAUGGAGUGUAGAGGACACCUUGGCGUCUUCCUGCCUGGGCAUGGAAGACACACCAGCUCCCAUUGGUCACCAGGUGAGGGCUGCUUCCGGGGCGCACAGCGGGGGGCGGCAAUGCCCUGGUCCAUCCUGGCCUGUCCCUUGCACAGCAGAGCAGUGCCUGUGAGUAGAGGCAGCACCUAGGUGAAGGAGGGCAGGUGCUGGCCAUUGGAAGAUGGGCCUGUGAGCACCCAAGACUCAAGGAGAGGGAGGGUGAGCAGGGCCACAGCAGCCAUUGCAAAACACCCACUCCCCCCUUUCCAGGGACGUGCUUGCAUGUUCCUAACCCAGGAAAAGCUCUCGGUUCUCGGUGUGUGCAUGGGUUUGUCUAGCUAGGCGGAUCCCCCCGUUCAUUGUCGCUGUAUCCCAGUGUGUGUUUGGACAAGCGCCGACGGCUUGCCAGGCUCUCCUGCCACAAGCAGCAGCUUCGGUGGACCCGGCAGAGGAGCCCUUCAGGCCAGGCCGAGAGCAGAGGGUGCUUGUGAAAACCGGCAGACACCCCUCCCCUCCUCAUUCACCUGACCACCUUUGGGCCUGUGUUGGCCUUUGGGGACCCCAGGGGAGCUCAGCGCAUGUCAACAUUGAGAAGAGGGGAAACCCAGAAAAUCCUGCCCUACAUCCAACGACAAAGAAAACAGAGCCUUUGUGCACCAGGCAGGUCUGUUCCUUUUGCAAGCAGCUGAAAAGUGAAAGUUUCUUUCUAGAAGAGUUGCUGGGGCCUGAGGUCUGAUACUCAUGUUGAGUCAGAGGCAAGACUGAAUGGGAACGCUGAACAGAAACUGGGAAACGUGCUGGUACUGCAGACAUGCGGACUCUCCUUUACUGUCCGGCAUCCGUGUUAUUUUAAGGGCAGUCCCUGACUUUUCCAGCUCCAGGGUCAAAAGCCAGUGUAUCCAUCCCUCAGUGACCAUUUCCCACCCCCCUCACUGGGCUCUCUCUGGUGUGAGAUGGAAUCCGUAUUUUGCACCCAAUUAUCUUUCAAAGUGACUGGAUAUGUUUAAAGCAGGGAACCUUGUAGCCCUGGUAGUUAGGUCCUGCAUGCUUUCAUGUUUCUAGAGCCCUCCCAAAGGUGGGACUUCUAAAGGCAUCCAAAAAAAUAUAUCCAGCUGGGUGAUGUUCUUUUGCCCAGAGCCUGGCACGAUGGGAGGUAAUUCCCACCUGGAAUUUGAGGCAUCUGGGCCCCUUGAAAGCUAAAAAAAUACUGUAGCCCCCAAGGAAGGAUUAUACCUUAUGGUGUUUUGAGACAUGCCCACGAGUGCUCUGAUCAUUUCUCUUGACAUGAAAGGGACUCUCAUUCUCCUCCUCUUGGAUUUGGCUGACUUUCAUGAUCCACUUCUAGUGGAUGGACUGUAGCAGAAGUUGUGUGCUUUCCAAAGCUGAGUCAUCAGAGGCAAUACGGUUUCCACCAGCUUCUAUGGUUGCUCUUGGAACCCGGCUGCCAGGGUGGGAGGAAGCUCAAGCGUCAUGGAGGCUGCGUGCAGGUGCUUCGCUGAUGGCCCAGCCAACGUCCUUGCUGACUGUGGAUGGCCAGCAGUGGCAACCAGACUCAUGAGGGGAGGCAUCCUCUAGAUGAGCCCGGCCACCAUCAGACUGCAGCCACAGGAGACCCCAGUCACCCCGGAACCAGGAGAGACGAGAAUAAAUGGUGGGUGGUGUUUUGAGCUGCCCGUCAGGGCUGGUUCAUUACGCAGCCAGAGUGAAUGGUACAUGUGUGCAUUCCUGAUCAUUUUCUAAAGAACUUCUGGGGACGGUAAGGAUCUCUGCUGUUCACCACUCACUUCUUCUGCUGGUGCAGUGACUCACCUGGGAUCAGUGUCUGAGGGGAAUAGACAAGAACGGUCAUGUUUCUCAGAUUCCCAAGUCUCCAGCUGGCCUUCAGUUUGGUGACCUAGAGGUGGCCUGAGGUUGCCUGCUGUUCUGACCUCAGCAGGCUGGGGAGCGAGGGCCUGUUCUGGAUCUGACUGCAGAGGGUCAUGGGUGGUGGAGGGAGAGGGCAGCUGCCUUUCUCCAUCCAGAUGAGAUCAUAGUGGUGGGGAGGCACCCUCCACACCAUCCCCCUGCUCUGGGCUCCUGGGGGUGGCUCUGCACACCUAGCCUUUUGAGGUGACCUCCACCCUCUGGUCUCUGCCUGGGGAAGGAGCCGGCUGGAGGGUUCCAGGGCUUUGGGCCUGUGGAGGGUGGGUCCUCCUGUGCCCAGGCAAGGGUCUUCUCUCCCAUCACCUCUUCUUAGUGGGACCACCAGCCAUUCGUCGGGCGUCUUCUUGGAGGCAGGGCUGGGCUCAGUGUGCUACCAGGAAUGGCUCCCCAUUUUCUUCACUGUCUCGAGGCAAAGUGUGAAAAUGCACAGGAGAGAACUUGGAAAAUCUUGUAAAGGUGUUGCUGAAGGUGGAAGGUGCUAUUAAGGGAUUAGGAGGCAGUUACUGGUGGGGCAGGAGCAGCGCACCUGUGCGGCUGUUGUAUCGUCUCCAAAAACCUAAAGUUAGAGUCAUAAACUCUAAGUUAGAGUCAUAAACUCUCUACACUCAGGGCCUCUAAAAAAAUCACAGCCCAGAUAGUGCUUGAGUUCCCCCUGCAGCUUCUCUGGAAAGUAGUCAUCCAUCAUCUCCUUGGAUGGCCUCAGUGAUGGGAGGCUCACUCCCACUUCCUUGCAGAGGCCUUUUAUUCUCCUGGGCACUGGGAUCAUUGUAGUUGUCAUCCUUGUGCUGAACCAAAGUAGCCUUGCUUCUAGUCAUUCUAAGUUCUCUAGAAUAAAUCGCAUGCCUCUUCCACAUGCCAUGCCUUCAAAGUCAGCUCCAGGUCUUGCUUGUUGGGGUUUCUCCCUCUUUAGUUUUGCGGCUCGCCUCCCCCCAGCCCGUAUAUGGCAUGGUUUGGAGACCCCUGUCACCAGCCUGGUUCCCUUCCCAGCCAAAGGUUAAUCUCCUCUUCAGUUCUUAAAAAUCAGUCUCCUGUUACUGUGGCUGAACGGGUCGUGACGUUGGACCUGAUUCCAGCUGUUAGACGUGAUGAUUUCAGAUACACACCCAAUAUUCCUGAGCUAGGAUUUAAAGCCGUAGGUUCUUCCCAGGGACAAGGUGAAGGGACCACCGAGCAUUGUGGGGUGUCUUCUUGGAGGUAGGGUUGGGUCACAUGUUCUACCUGCGACGGCUCCUUCAUUUUCCUAAUGUGCCUGUGAGUCCGCCUUCCUUGGGCACCUGGGGGUGGGUGGCGGAGCUGCAGUUAAAACCCCGCCUUGCCCAGCGCCUCCUCCCAGCAGCCUGCUCCUCCCUAAGCUGAACUGCGGGCAGGAACGUCACAUUGACUCACGGUUUCCACAAGCCCCGGUCCUUGCCUGCAGGUGCUGAACCUUGUGCAGACAGGCAGCAGGGCUGUUUUGUUCACUGUCCUUCCCCCAGGGUCUUGAUGAUGCCCAGAAUGUCUCCAGUAUUUGUUGAUGUUAAAUCUUUGUCGAACACACGAUCGUGUGAAUGAAUGAAUCCUUGUAACUUCUCCGUGACACUUUUUUUUUUUCCAUUUUAUUUUGAAACAACAGCAGUUGUAAAACUAUAAGGGAAACUGUAACAGAUUCCAGCAUAGUCCGUCUGGGAAUUAAUAAGUAUUAACAUUUUUUUAUUUGCUUCUGGUCUCUUCCAUUUAUAAGGAAGACAAGGUUACAGAUCAACUUGAUUUUUUUUGUUUUAAAUGAUUUUUAGUUUUUCCAUUAUAGCUGGUUUCCAGUGUUCUGUCAGUUUUCUGCUCUACAGUGAGGUGAUCCAGUCACACAUAUAGGUAUACAUUCUUUUUCUCACAUUAUUCUCCAUCAUGUUCCAUCACAAGUGACUAGAUAGAGUUCCCAGUGCUAUACAGCAGGAUCUCAUUGCUCAUCCAUUCCAAAGGCAAUAGUUUGCAUCUGUUAACCCCAAACACCCAGUCCAUCCCCCUCCUUCCCCUUCCUCCUUGGCAACCACAAGUCUGUUCAAGUCCAUGAGAUUCUUUUCUGUGCCAUAAUUAGAUUCCAGAUGUAAGUGAUAUCAUAUGGUAUUUGUCUUUCUCUUUCUGACUUAUUUCACUUAGUAUGAGAGUCUCUAGUUCCAUCCAUGUUGCUGCAAAUGGCAUUAUUUUUUCUUUUUAUGGCUGAGUAGUAUUCCAUUGUGUAUAUAUACACCACAUCUUCUUAAUCCAUUCAUCUGUCAAUGGACAUUUAGAUUGUUUCCAUGUCUUGGCUUUUGUGAAUAGUGCUGCUGUGAACAUGCAGGUACAUGUGUCUAUUUCAAGGAGAGUUUUAUCCAGACAUAUGCCCAAGAGUGGGAUUGCUGGGUCAUAUGGUAGUUCUAUGUAUAGUUUUCUGAGGUACCUCCAUACUGUUUUCCAUAGUGGUUGUACCAAUUUGUGCUUGAUUUUUAAAAAUUUUAUCUUAUUUUUUUAGGGCACACCUGCAGCAUAUGGAAGUUCCCCAGGCUAGGGGUUGAAUCAGAGCUGCAGCUGCCAGCCUGUGUAGCUUGCUUCAUGUAUUGGCAUGCAUAAGCAAUAAAUAGCAUUGUUUAGUGUGCUUUCAAAUUUACAUAUGUUAUUGUACUGGACUAAUUUUUUUUUUUUUUUUGUCUUUAUAGGGCCACACCUGCCGCAUAUGGAGGUUCCCAGGCUAGGGGUUUAAUCAGCCUAUGCCAGAGCCACAGCAACACGGGAUCUGAGCCGUGUCUGUGACCUACACCACAGCCCACGGCAACACUGGAUCCUUAACCCACUGUGCAAGGCCAGGGAUCGAACCCACAACCCCAUGGUUCCUAGUUGGAUUUGUUUCUGCUGCUCCACAACAGGAACUCCUUACUAGCCAAAUAUUAUGCAGUAUUUUUCUCCACUCAUGAAUUUUUUGGAUCUGUGUACAUGUGCUAGUUCAUUCAUUUGAAGUGCUGUCUUGUCUUCCAUCAGCUGACUCUCACCCUUGCCAUUUAUUUUUCCACUCCCCAGUAACACAUAUAAUACAAGUGCAUUGUCUUCAGUUCCCCGCUCUGGGUAAUUAAUAGUCUCCUUACCUAAGUGUUCAGACAAGGAACCUUAGAGCCCGCUGUUAAAUGACCCAGCUAAGGUGUCACAGUUUUCACAGGCAGUGGAACCAGAGAAUGAGCCAAAACGGACCAUAUCUUCCCUCCCAGGCAAUCGUCUUUCUCACUGCUCCACAGUUAUCUCCUUUCAGGAAAAGGAGAUGAUAAAUUUGCAGGAAGUGUUAGAGAGUUUUAUCUUUAAAAAGCUCCAGGGAGAAAACGAUCUUGUUUUGAGAGCAGUGUGAAGGUUUGAUGCCAGAUGGGGUCUCCCCAUGUGUUUCGAGGGCAGAGAACAGACCCGUGUGUGGCGGGAGGGUCACCCCCGACUUGGGGUCUUGUCUGUUGCCUUCCUGGGUGGCUUCCUGGGCAGAGACAGUGAGUGUGACAACCACCUUGAAGCUGGCCUUCUUUUCACAAGGGCAGCCAGACACUCAGGGGACUUUAUCUCCCAGCAUAGAGAGUUCCUGGGGGAACGGGACCACUUCUGUCCUUGGGGGGGAGGGGUGUCCGCGGGGGGUGGUCCCCGCAUCCUUUUUUUCCCAUUUCCACUGAAUAUAGUGUCACUGGAGAGCAGGAUUUGAAACCAGUUAACCUCAAAAGAGGCCAGUCAUAUCUGUCCCCAUUUCUCUUUGAAAAAUGAUGAAUGCUAAACAGUCCUCGAGGUUUACAGAUCUACCAAAAGACGGUCAAGGUUCUGAAACAAUGAGGACAUUCUUUUCCACGCUGAGGAUGGCACCAGGGCCUUGACGCCACCUGGCUCGGUCACUGGCUUCGGAGAGGGCCUGGGGCUGUUUUCGCAACUUCCCAGAGUUUCAGUUUCCUUGUCUUUCAAAGCAGAUGCUGUUGACAGUCACUUGUACCAUCAGACCAAGACUGACCAAUUGUGAGCCUCAGGGCACCCCCCCUCGCAGGAGCCCUUCCAGGACCUCCUAUCUCAUUUUUAUUCGUAAUUUGAUAGGCGUUUUUAUAAAGUGCAUCCCCCAAGUUGUGUAAGCUGUGGCCCCACAAGCCAUGGGUGGGCCUCCUGGCUCAUAAGGUGGUUGUAAAGAUACCUGUUGCAUAGUUAGCGCGUGGUACUUGUGAGCUCAUUAGGAUGAUUAUUUAAUGAAUAGCAUGUGCCUUGAGUGUCACCCCAUGCCUGGAACCGCAUGGGGGCUCAAUUAGUGGCAGCCUCGGUUCUUCUGUUCUCAAGUUGUGCGGUGUUCCGGUUUCCCAGAGUCUCCAUCUUCAAGGAAAAUGUGAGAAGGACCCAAGAUACCUGCCCCUUUCUCCCGCUGCUACCAUAAAUUCUGUGUAUAAUAGAUGAAAAUCCUUUAAUUCCUUAAGAGUUUCCUGCCUCUUCUGUCUUUUCUCCAUCAUCUGGCUCACCUGGUCCAGUCGACCCUGUGCUCCAGGGGAGGCCAGCAGUCAGCCAGGUGGGGACACCACGAGGCUGCAUGUCAUCUUCUCCUGUGCUUUCUUCUCAUCCCAAAAGAUUGUGAAGGAGUUCCCUGGUGGUGUAUACCAGGUUAAGGAUCCAGCAUUGUCAUUGG